AACGAACGCUGGCGGCGUGCCUAACACAUGCAAGUUGAGCGGUAAGGCCCCUUCGGGGGUACACGAGCAGCGAACGGGUGAGUAUCGCGUGGGUAAUCUACCUCGAGGUGGGGGAUAGCCCCGGGAAACCGGGGGUAAUACCGCAUGAGUCCUCGAUGACACAAGUCGACGAGGGGAAAGGCGGGGAUCCUUCGGGACCUGUCGCCUUGGGAUGAGCCCGCGUCCGAUUAGCUUGUUGGUGGGGUAAUGGCCCACCAAGGCAACGAUCGGUAGCCGGCCUGAGAGGGUGAACGGCCACAUUGGGACUGAGACACGGCCCAGACUCCUACGGGAGGCAGCAGUGGGGAAUUUUGGGCAAUGGGGGAAACCCUGACCCAGCGACGCCGCGUGGAGGAUGACGGCCCUCGGGUUGUAAACUCCUGUCAGGUGGGAAGAAAAGCCUGUCGGUUAAUACCCGACAGGAAUUGACGGUACCACCAAAGGAAGCCCCGGCUAACUCCGUG
rnacentral:rRNA from 1 species